GAUGAACGCUGGCGGCGUGCUUAACACAUGCAAGUCGAACGGGAAACCUUUUAUUGAAGCUUCGGCAGAUUUAGCUGGUUUCUAGUGGCGGACGGGUGAGUAACGCGUGGGUAACCUGCCUUAUACAGGGGGAUAACAACCAGAAAUGGUUGCUAAUACCGCAUAAGCGCACAGGACCGCAUGGUCCGGUGUGAAAAACUCCGGUGGUAUAAGAUGGACCCGCGUUGGAUUAGCUAGUUGGCAGGGUAACGGCCUACCAAGGCGACAAUCCAUAGCCGGCCUGAGAGGGUGAACGGCCACAUUGGGACUGAGACACGGCCCAGACUCCUACGGGAGGCAGCAGUGGGGAAUAUUGCACAAUGGGGGAAACCCUGAUGCAGCGACGCCGCGUGAAGGAAGAAGUAUCUCGGUAUGUAAACUUCUAUCAGCAGGGAAGAUAGUGACGGUACCUGACUAAGAAGCCCCGGCUAACUACGUG
rnacentral:rRNA from 1 species